AAUCCAUGUUGAGGACAUUUCUGCAGGAUCUUCUUGAACCUAUCCCAUGUCUGAAAAAAAGACUACAAUUUCAUUUGCACAAAAGAAGAUAUUUCAUUCCUAUGCUU